rnacentral:RNase_P_RNA from 1 species
UAAGGGGGCUGAGGGAGUCGCUGUUUAAAUUAUUUAUGCAGAGGAAAGUCCGGGCUUCGUCGGAAAAAUGCCGGUUAAUAACCGGGGAAUAAAAAGUAGUAUUUUUAUUUACAGCUUAGCGCAACAGAAAAUAAACCGCCAUUCAGUGGUAAGGGUGAAAUGGUAGGGGUAAGAGCCCACCGCAUUUUAGGUAACUAAAAUGGCAGUGUAAGCCUCAUUUGAAGCAAGACCGAGCAGUAAAGAAUAUCCGAUUCUAUAAUUUACGGGUUGGUCGCAAUAGAUUUACCGGGAAACGGGUAAACAAGAUAGAUGGCUCCGGUAUAAAAUACAGAACCCGGCUUAUCAGUCUCCUUUUUAU